rnacentral:rRNA from 1 species
GACGUAGGAUGUGAGCGUUAUUCGGAUUUAUUGGGCGUAAAGCGUGCGUAGGCGGCUGUUUAAGUCUGGUGUUAAAGCUAGGGGCUCAACCCCUGUGGUGCAUCGGAUACUGGGCAGCUUGAGUGCGGUAGGGGAAGGUGGAAUUCCGAGUGUAGCGGUGAAAUGCGUAGAUAUUCGGAAGAACACCGGUGGCGAAGGCGACCUUCUGGGCCGCAACUGACGCUGAGGCACGAAAGCCUGGGGAGCGAACGGG